GGGACGGGUGAGUAACACGUGGAUAACCUACCUAUAAGACUGGGAUAACUUCGGGAAACCGGAGCAAUACCGGAUAAUAUAUUGAACCGCAUGGUUCAAUAGUGAAAGACGGUUUUGCUGUCACUUAUAGAUGGAUCCGCGCCGCAUUAGCUAGUUGGUAAGGUAACGGCUUACCAAGGCAACGAUGCGUAGCCGACCUGAGAGGGUGAUCGGCCACACUGGAACUGAGACACGGUCCAG
rnacentral:rRNA from 1 species